GUUUUAAUAGUUUAAACAAAACAUUGGUUUUGUAAACCAAAAUUAAGGUUGCCCCACUUUUAAAACU
rnacentral:tRNA from 1 species